AACCCUGCUGUAAAAUCUGCCUUUUCACUCUUCUGGGGUACUUUCCUCAGCAUCAUUAGUGAUCCCCCACCACUGAAUUUUGAAGAAGGCUUGAAAGAUGAAAAAACCCUUUGGCACAAAUCUGUGCUGGGCUUCUGCCAUCAGCUGAUCUGCAACAGUUUGGCAUAACCUCCUUCUUUACACGACUGGGUCCUAGGGUAGCUUUGAUCAAUUUUUUAAAAGUUGGAAAAUCUUUCCCAUUCUUUAAAGAAAAUAUAAGGACUUCAGCAUCCAAGGCCUUAUAACACUUGAGCUGAUUUGUUUGGUGAGCUGAAAUUGUCAUUUCUGGGGAUGAAGGUGUGUUUCAUGAAUGUGCCAUGUCACUCUGUCCUUGUGCACAGCCAUCACCUCUGGAUCCUGGCUGAAGGACAGCCCUCUUCGGAAGGGAGACAGUGAUUCUUUUGUUGUUCAGGUUUCCUUCUGAAGAGAGUAAAGUCUUAAAAGCUUAAGAGAAAACAAGACCUUUUGAUAUCUAUGAGCAUGUGGGCCUUAGAUGAAAAGAUGGCCAAUGAUUCAAGGGGAUGCUGCACCAGACUCUAUGUGAAGAGCAUGAGAGCUUCUGCCCUGGCAGAGGUCAACACUGAUUCAGACUCAGCUAGCUCAUUCUCAGGCCCUUAAUGACUUGCCCUGGAUCCAAUUUUGAGCUAAAACAAAAAGGGAGCCCAGAACUCGGAUCUUCUGGGUGCUGCCAGUUCUGAUGGAAGAAGCAGAUAACAACAAGUCAAAUCCUUAAAAGGACAUCAAAGGAGAAGCUGAAGACCUGGGAGCAAAGGGCUGCAGACAUCAGCAGUGUGUUUUAGCAUCAGGGAGGAGCUGCCGCAAGCCCGGCGAUGUCAGACAAGUGACAAAGGGAGCCUCCGCUUAUGAGGGUACAUAGCCAGACAAAGGACGGGGAUGGGUGAGGGAUUUAGCUCUGGAGCCUGAUCUUUUCGGGAGAAUUGGCCAUAACACACAUAGCUAAUCUGGCUGGGAAUGCCAAGUAGCGAUUGCCCGGGCAGGAAGGGAGCUGCCGAGGAGUGACUCCCUGGCUGCGGGGCUGGCUCCAGCCUCUCCUGCCGGAGCGGGGCCCGGG
rnacentral:lncRNA from 1 species